rnacentral:misc_RNA from 1 species
AUAAAGCGACUCUUCACCCGACAACUCAGCCAUUCUAUUGCCUUCUCUCUUUUCUCUCACCAUACCCAUCCUCUCUCCACCGAAACCCAAUCUCUAAUAUCGCACCUCAAUCAAUUCACCGGUCGAUAUGGCUUUAGCCAACUUCACUUCCUCUUCUAGAUCCAAUCUCCUUAAACCUCUUGCCCCCGUCUUGUCCUUCGCUGAGACUCUCCGCCGUCCGAUCUCCACCUCGACCGAUCCCCUCAUUAUCGAGACAUCUGUUCCCUUCACUUUUCACAAUUGCGAGCCUCCUUCCCGUUCUGUGGAGACCAAUCCCCAAGAGCUAAUCUCCUUCUUCCGCGGCAUGGCUACUAUGCGCCGGAUGGAGAUCGCCGCCGACUCUCUCUACAAGGCCAAGCUUAUCCGUGGGUUCUGUCACCUCUACGAUGGGCAGGAAGCGGUGGCUGUAGGGAUGGAAGCUGCUAUUACUAAAAAAGACUGCAUCAUAACAGCAUACCGGGAUCACUGUACGUUCGUCGGGCGAGGUGGGACCCUUCUGGAGGUCUUCGCGGAACUCAUGGGACGCCAGGCUGGGUGUUCGAGAGGGAAGGGUGGGUCAAUGCAUUUCUACAAGAAGGAGGCAGGAUUUUAUGGAGGACACGGGAUCGUAGGAGCUCAGGUGCCACUAGGUUGCGGAUUGGCUUUCGCGCAGAAGUAUUCUAAGGAUGAGACUGUGACGUUUGCUCUGUACGGAGAUGGUGCGGCCAAUCAGGGACAGUUGUUCGAGGCGCUUAA